CUUUGGUGAAACAGGGGAAAUAAGUGUUUUCUGUGCAGUUAAUAACUCAGUGUAACUCAUUUGGGCCUUGUUGUCAUUUCCCUCUGAAGCAAGGCGGUUCCCUAAACUGUCAAAACAGUAACCCAGCAAAAAUAAACGAGAUGCUUUCUGCUGCAUUAGCGCCCUACAUCCGUUCAGUGGUGGGUCAGAGAGGGGCCAGAGGCAAUACAGAUAAAGAUGAGGCAAUGGGGAGAGGAUCACACCUUCCAGCAGAUCCCUUCAGCUAAAAGCUCUUACAGAUGGCCUCACUCAUUUUUGCAAUGCUUUCUAACGAUGGAAAAUACUCCUGAAAGCAGCACUGAGAGCACGUGGAAGAACACAGGGACAAUCCAAUAACGAAGGGAUUUGGCUUCAUGGAAAUCUGAAAUGCAGGACCGAGUAUGCACAGCUGUGACCAAAGUCAAUGGGAACUGUGCCUGAAUGUACAAUACCAAGCUGUCUGCUAAAACAGUUCCUUGGCAUUUUCAGUGGAAGACCCCAUAACAGGCAGAUGGUGUUUGGCUUUUGCUGUUUUAUCACCUGUGUCACAUCUCAGAGGUGACAGCUAAAUGGAUGGCGCUGGGAAGCACUCCCAUGUGGUGGUGAUGAGCUGCACAGGAUGAUCCUUCAGAGCUGGGUCUGGACAGCCUACAUUAAAGAAGGCAAGCGUUGGUCUAGGACAUAUUACUCUCUUAGAGAGCACAUGCUGUCCAUCCUAUACACUGACCAAACCAGGUGCCCUAUAGGAAAAAAUAAAUAAAUCUGUUACCAUGUAAUUAAAAACUGGGUUAUGAUGCAUAAGCACAAAGAAAGCAAGAAAUAGGAUUGCUCAGUUGGUCAUAAUUUCAGCACUUGGUACUUUCCAGUCUGACUUUGCAGCCUUAAUGGGCUUUUUAAAUGUUGUUUCUUGUGGUGUUUGUGUCCAUGUGUGUCUCAGUAGCUGAGAACACUCAACAGUACACGUAUGUAUAUAACUCUUAGGUAUAUCUAAUGCUUAGUUCAGAUAUCACACCUAGAAAAUAAACACAUGCAUAAACUCAGCAAACUAUCACUGACUCACCGUCUAGUCAUUCACUUUUCUGCUGCUUUUUUCCUCUUGCUGUGUCAAGCCUGUCUUCUGUAGCCCCUAUACUGAUUUCCCCCUCUCUUCCCAGGGGCAGGUUAAUGUCAGCCCUGGUUUCCUGGUAAUGUUAGACACUGCCAUGUUUGCUUUAGACACAAAAAUACAGAAUUCAAUUCCACAGGAGGUAAUAUUUAUUCCAUAACCAUGCUGUUUACCUGCCAACUACUUCUGCCUGCUCAUUAAAAGCAUUAUCACAGUGUAUGAAUGGAACAAUGUCCUUAGGCAUAACAGUGUUAGCACUGGUGUGAUUUGUGCAAAAUUGAAGCUCCUGUUUCUUUGUUUUCAGCAAUUUGCAUUGCUUUCCUCUAUCAACCCUGCAGCUUUCACUCUCCUUCAGAUACCCAAAGCAAAACAUGAUGAGAGAGCUUGUGUCUGCCUGAUGUCCUACAACACCAACACGAGCCUUGUCCCAGGCUCAGAGCCCUGUGGCCCAGCUGCUUGCUAUGUUCAGUGACAGCCACAUCCACGGACACAACCCUGCCAAAGGUGCUUGAUAGUCAAAGGCAGAACCAGCUGCCAAGGCCAGAACGAAGUUCUAAGGGAAAUCAGAGCACAAUGACUGCCCAGCACAGCCUAUGAGAAUACAGUCUGCACUUGGAAAGCCAGAAUAACCAGCUGCACAUUCUUCUAAUGAAAUCCUCACGCAGUUACUCCCUCCACAUGGUUUUAUCAGAUGAGAUACUGAACAUUAGCACUUGUCAGCUAUUUUCAUGCAGCUAGACAUUUGCCUUGUCUCCUAACAAUCAACCUUUUGUUAUUAACACGCCUCUUACAAAAAGGAAGAAGUAUUUAAAUGUGCCUCAUAUCCAAAAGGUAUUUUCAAAAAUUUGAUUUUGACUCAGUAUUCUGAGGUGCUUAGAAAUCUGUGGAGCUUAACAAAGAUGUCAACAGCCCAGGUUCUACUUCUUCAGGGAUUAAUAACCAUCUCCCUGCUGUAGGAUGAGGAAAAAUAAAAAAAUGAAAAUUUAGUACAGACAAAACA